GUGUGCGAUCAUUCCAGCACUAAUGCACCGGAUCCCAUCAGAACUCCAAAGUUAAAGGUGCUUGGGCGAGAGUAGUGCUGGGCUGGGUGACCUCUUCGGAAGUCCUCAUGUUGCACCCC